AGGAGAGGAGUAAGCUAACCUUAUCCAACCUUUGUAUCCGUAAAUCCCUAUAUAGCCUACCAGCGUUGUACCCUUUUGCGAGCAAGUCAGCCUCUAUUUAUUAAACCCUUUCUAGAGUCACCAGCUAAUCCUAAAAUCCCAGGUGCGUAAGCAAGCUACCCUUUAGUAAGUAGUCAGCAACCCUCCUAAGCCUUGUUUUUAGGAGUAACCUGGGAUCUUUUUAAGCUCGUUAUAGGAAGACGCGCUAUAUGAGUAAUCUAUCCUAGUAGACAUUAUACUAGGAAGCUCCUGAGUCAACCUCUAAUCUAUAAGCCAGUCAGCGGGAUAGAUGAAUAUGAACUUCUCUAAGAGAACAGUUCAACGGGUUUAAUUGAAUUCCGUUAUAUGAUCAGAUUAGAUAUUCUCUAAGACUGUAUAAGAGAGACCUAACUAACUGGAUUGCUAGCAGUGAUCAUACCCGAUGAUGUGAACCCGAUUGAAUCAGCUCUUGUGAUCAUAUCCCAUGCUAUCAAUGGGAGUUAAGUCCGCCUAUCCAUCAACAUAAAAGUUAAAGGAGCCCGCUAACUACUGCACUUCCUAAUGUGAUAUUGAG
rnacentral:lncRNA from 1 species